rnacentral:rRNA from 1 species
GACGAACGCUGGCGGCGUGCUUAACACAUGCAAGUCGAACGGAAAGGCCCUGCUUUUGUGGGGUGCUCGAGUGGCGAACGGGUGAGUAACACGUGAGUAACCUGCCCUUGAGUUUGGGAUAACUUCAGGAAACUGGGGCUAAUCCCGGAUAGGAGCUCCUGCUGCAUGGUGGGGGUUGGAAAGUUUCGGCGGUUGGGGAUGGACUCGCGGCUUAUCAGCUUGUUGGUGGGGUAGUGGCUUACCAAGGCUUUGACGGGUAGCCGGCCUGAGAGGGUGACCGGCCACAAUGGGACUGAGAUACGGCCCAGACUCCUACGGGAGGCAGCAGUGGGGAAUAUUGCACAAUGGGCGGAAGCCUGAUGCAGCAACGCCGCGUGCGGGAUGACGGCCUUCGGGUUGUAAACCGCUUUCGCCUGUGACGAAGCGUGAGUGACGGUAAUGGGUAAAGAAGCACCGGCUAACUACGUG